rnacentral:rRNA from 1 species
AGAGUUUGAUCAUGGCUCAGAAUCAACGCUGGCGGCGUGCCUCAGACAUGCAAGUCGAACGCGAAAGUCCCCUUCGGGGGAUGAGUAGAGUGGCGUCCGGGUGAGUAACACGUAGGUAAUCUACCUUUGGGUGGGGAAUAACGCAGGGAAACUUGCGCUAAUACCGCAUAAUGCAGCGGCACCACAUGGUGACAGUUGUUAAAGCGGGGGAUUUUCGGACCUCGCGCCUAAAGAGGAGCCUGCGGCAGAUUAGCUAGUUGGUAGGGUAACGGCUUACCAAGGCAACGAUCUGUAGCCGGCCUGAGAGGGCGGUCGGCCACACUGACACUGACAUACGGGUCAGACUCCUACGGGAGGCAGCAGUCGGGAAUUUUGGGCAAUGGGCGAAAGCCUGACCCAGCAACGCCGCGUGAAGGAUGAAAUCCUUCGGGAUGUAAACUUCGCAAGAAUAGGAAGAAUUAGUAGGGGUUAAUACCCCCUAUGAUGACGGUACUAUUUGUAAGCUCCGGCUAACUCCGUGCCAGCAGCCGCGGUAAUACGGGGGGAGCAAGCGUUGUUCGGAUUUACUGGGCGUAAAGGGCGCGUAGGCGGUCAGCACAAGUCAGUUGUGAAAUCUCCGGGCUUAACUCGGAAAGGUCAACUGAUACUGUGCGACUAGAGUGCAGAAGGGGCAACUGGAAUUCUCGGUGUAGCGGUGAAAUGCGUAGAUAUCGAGAGGAACACCUGCGGCGAAGGCGGGUUGCUGGGCUGACACUGACGCUGAUGCGCGAAAGCCAGGGGAGCGAACGGGAUUAGAUACCCUAGUAGUCC